rnacentral:rRNA from 1 species
UGGGGAAUAUUGCACAAUGGGCGCAAGCCUGAUGCAGCCAUGCCGCGUGUAUGAAGAAGGCCUUCGGGUUGUAAAGUACUUUCAGCGGGGAGGAAGGGAGUAAAGUUAAUACCUUUACUCAUUGACGUUACCCGCAGAAGAAGCACCGGCUAACUCCGUUCCAGCAGCCGCGGUAAUACGGAGGGUGCAAGCGUUAAUCGGAAUUACUGGGCGUAAAGCGCACGCAGGCGGUCUGUCAAGUCGGAUGUGAAAUCCCCGGGCUCAACCUGGGAACUGCAUUCGAAACUGGCAGGCUAGAGUCUUGUAGAGGGGGGUAGAAUUCCAGGUGUAGCGGUGAAAUGCGUAGAGAUCUGGAGGAAUACCGGUGGCGAAGGCGGCCCCCUGGACAAAGACUGACGCUCAGGUGCGAAAGCGUGGGGAGCAAACAGG